rnacentral:tRNA from 1 species
CGCUGGCGGGUAAGCCCGUUCUUAUCCAGACCAGUUCAAUGGGGGCGAUUGGCGGCGCGCGCUGCCAGUAUCAUCUG